rnacentral:rRNA from 1 species
CAGUCGCCACGGGAAUACGGAGGGGGCUAGCGUUGUUCGGAAUUACUGGGCGUAAAGCGCACGUAGGCGGCUUGGUAAGUUAGAGGUGAAAGCCUGGAGCUCAACUCCAGAAUUGCCUUUAAGACUGCCGAGCUAGCAGGUGAGAGAGGUAAGUGGAAUUCCGAGUGUAGAGGUGAAAUUCGUAGAUAUUCGGAAGAACACCAGUGGCGAAGGCGGCUUACUGGCUCAUACUGGACGCUGAGGUGCGAAAGCGUGGGGAGCAAACAGGAUUAGAGACCCCGGUAGUCCCUGUCUCUUAUAC